CGUGGGUGACCUGCCUUCGAGCGGGGGAUAACGUCCCGAAAGGGACGCUAAUACCGCAUAACAUCCUGCUUUUCAAGAGGUGGAGAUCAAAGCUGGGGAUCGCAAGACCUAGCACUCGAAGAGGGGCCCGCGUCCGAUUAGCUAGUUGGUGAGGUAACGGCUCACCAAGGCAACGAUCGGUAGCCGGCCUGAGAGGGCGGACGGCCACACUGGGACUGAGACACGGCCCAGACUCCUACGGGAGGCAGCAGUGGGGAAUUGUUCGCAAUGGGCGCAAGCCUGACGACGCAACGCCGCGUGGAGGAUGAAGAUCUUCGGGUCGUAAACUCCUUUCGAUCGAGACGAAUUCCCCUGGGGUGAACAGCCUCGGGGGUUGACGGUACCGAGAGAAGAAGCCCCGGCUAACUCCGUGCCAGCAGCCGCGGUAAUACGGGGGGGGCAAGCGUUGUUCGGAAUUACUGGGCGUAAAGGGCUCGUAGGCGGCCAACUAAGUCAGACGUGAAAUCCCUCGGCUUAACCGGGGAACUGCGUCUGAUACUGGAUGGCUUGAGUUUGGGAGAGGGAUGCGGAAUUCCAGGUGUAGCGGUGAAAUGCGUAGAUAUCUGGAGGAACACCGGUGGC
rnacentral:rRNA from 1 species